GAUGAACGCUGGCGGCGUGCCUAAUACAUGCAAGUCGAGCGAACAGACGAGGAGCUUGCUCCUCUGACGUUAGCGGCGGACGGGUGAGUAACACGUGGAUAACCUACCUAUAAGACUGGGAUAACUUCGGGAAACCGGAGCUAAUACCGUAUAAUAUAUUGAACCGCAUGGUUCAAUAGUGAAAGACGGUUUUGCUGUCACUUAUAGAUGGAUCCGCGCCGCAUUAGCUAGUUGGUAAGGUAACGGCUUACCAAGGCGACGAUGCGUAGCCGACCUGAGAGGCGGGUCGCCCACACUGGAACUUGGACGCGGUCCUGGCUCCUGCGGUAGGCACCAGUAGGGAAUCUUCCGCAAUGGGCGAAAGCCUGACGGAGCAACGCCGCGUGAGUGAUGAAGGUCUUCGGAUCGUAAAACUCUGUUAUUAGGGAAAAACAAAUGUGUAAGUAAAUAUGCACGUAUUGACGGUACCUAGUCAGAAAGCCACGGCUAACUACGUG
rnacentral:rRNA from 1 species